GAUGGAAUCAGGAGGCCAGCAGGGGGAGCCCUACCACUUGUUGCCAUGACUGACCCAACAGGAAGGGAGACAUCUCACAGAGAGAAGGAGAGCGCACAAGCAGAGGAAGGGGGUUGGUGCAGAGAAGCAGGCUUCUCCAUGACCAGGGAGCCCUACGUCGAGUUUCAGCCCAGGACCCUGGGAUAGUGACUUGAACCAAAGGCAGACGCUUAACUGACUGAGCCACCCAAGCACCCCAAUAAAUAAAUCUUUUAAAGUAAAU
rnacentral:lncRNA from 1 species